rnacentral:rRNA from 1 species
GACGAACGCUGGCGGCGUGCUUAACACAUGCAAGUCGAACGAAGAGCGAUGGAAGCUUGCUUCUAUCAAUCUUAGUGGCGAACGGGUGAGUAACGCGUAAUCAACCUGCCCUUCAGAGGGGGACAACAGUUGGAAACGACUGCUAAUACCGCAUACGAUCUAAACUCGGCAUCGAGGAUAGAUGAAAGGUGGCCUCUACAUGUAAGCUAUCACUGAAGGAGGGGAUUGCGUCUGAUUAGCUAGUUGGAGGGGUAACGGCCCACCAAGGCGAUGAUCAGUAGCCGGUCUGAGAGGAUGAACGGCCACAUUGGGACUGAGACACGGCCCAGACUCCUACGGGAGGCAGCAGUGGGGAAUCUUCCGCAAUGGACGAAAGUCUGACGGAGCAACGCCGCGUGAGCGAUGACGGCCUUCGGGUUGUAAAGCUCUGUUAAUCGGGACGAAAGGCCUUCUUGCGAAUAGUGAGAAGGAUUGACGGUACCGGAAUAGAAAGCCACGGCUAACUACGUG